rnacentral:rRNA from 1 species
GAUGAGAAUGUGCCUUCGGGAACCGUGAGACAGGUGCUGCAUGGCUGUCGUCAGCUCGUGUUGUGAAAUGUUGGGUUAAGUCCCGCAACGAGCGCAACCCUUAUCCUUUGUUGCCAGCGGUCCGGCCGGGAACUCAAAGGAGACUGCCAGUGAUAAACUGGAGGAAGGUGGGGAUGACGUCAAGUCAUCAUGGCCCUUACGACCAGGGCUACACACGUGCUACAAUGGCGCAUACAAAGAGAAGCGACCUCGCGAGAGCAAGCGGACCUCAUAAAGUGCGUCGUAGUCCGGAUUGGAGUCUGCAACUCGACUCCAUGAAGUCGGAAUCGCUAGUAAUCGUGGAUCAGAAUGCCACGGUGAAUACGUUCCCGGGUCUUGU